rnacentral:rRNA from 1 species
CAGCCGCCGCGGUAAUACGAAGGGUGCGAGCGUUAAUCGGAAUUACUGGGCGUAAAGCGUGCGUAGGCGGUGAGUUAAGUCUGCUGUGAAAUCCCCGGGCUCAACCUGGGAAUGGCAGUGGAUACUGGCUCGCUAGAGUGUGUCAGAGGAUGGUGGAAUUCCCGGUGUAGCGGUGAAAUGCGUAGAGAUCGGGAGGAACAUCAGUGGCGAAGGCGGCCAUCUGGGACAACACUGACGCUGAGGCACGAAAGCGUGGGGAGCAAACAGGAUUAGAUACCCGCGUAGUCCCUGUCUCUUAUAC